UGCGAUAAAGGCGUGUACCCGAGAAAAAACUGACCACAGCAACUGCCAUGGCCACAGCUGGCAUACCAAAACCCCACCCCCACCCUACAUUUGUUUGUAUCCAUACAAGAACAGUAGAAGCAACAAGGGCACCUAUAUUGAUUGAGAAAUAAAACCAGUUGAAGAAAGAACUUUUGUUCUUCUUUUCGGCCUCGUCAGAAUCAUCGAAUUGAUCUGCACCGAAGGAAGAAACACACGGCUUGAUUCCCCCGGUACCUAGGGCGAUUAGGUAAAGCCCAAGGUAGAAAAAUCCAGUUUGAAUGCCUGUUGGAUGGCACACAUUUUUCUCAUCACAAAAUGGUUUGAGUCCAUGGACUGAUGCCGAUAAUGUCAACAAUGUCAUCCCCUGUAUCAAAUGAGACUCAGUAGACUGAGAAGUUUAUUGACUUAUAUUCAGUAUACCAUAAAGGGUAAAAAGCAUGAAUCAAACACUAGUUUAUUCAAAUGAGGAUCAAAUCUUGGGCUAAAAUUAGACUUACGAAGACAUAAAUGAUUGAGAAGGUUGCAAUUGUCCAAUAUCGUCCCAUAUAGGCAUCGGCUAGAAAGGCUCCCAGCAGAGGUGUGACAUAGCACGUACCAGACCAAUUCGUAACGUUAGUAACUGCCACAACAUUGUUCUUGUUCAUUUGAAAUUUGAGAUAAUUUACCAGAUUUGUGUUGAUCCCAUAAUAUGCCAACCUCUCACAACAUUCAUUUCCUAUUCAACCAAACAAUAUUGGAAACAUAAAGCGAAAAAACAACAAAAUCGAGAGAUGUUAAAACAUUUCAUCUACGAAAUGAAGAAGAGAUACCAAGGAUGUAAGGACAUGCUUUCCAGGUCCCAGUUUCCCGUUUGAUUGCAGGUUUAUUACAAUAAUCUGUCGUCCCAUCUUUCGUAUAUAUAUCUUCUUCAGCCAUGAUUUUAGAUACAGAAAGUCACUCAAUUUUCAGUGUUUGAUGCCUCAAUUCUGCUCAAGUAAUUUAAGGAAGCCAGAGAGAGAAAGAGUAUUGAAAAGUGUAAAUAAAUAUGAGCAAAUAGUAAUAGCUGGUCAAUCUUAUAAUUUCCAUGCACAACUACAGAUAAGAGGUAGGUCUUGAGUUUUAGAAGACCAAAGCCCUUAUCUUAUUAUAUAUAAAAGGAAAGGUGAAAAUAUCAUACUGCAUUGCAUCACUUUUUUCCACGAUAGCGAGUAGUUCCAAUUCCAGACCUAUUUUCAUCAAACUCCAAAAUUCACCAGCAGUGAUUACCUUCCAUCUCUCCUUAAAAAAACCUAAGCUUUGAACUUAAUCUCGUGAAAUCCUUUAUCAUGGUUGCAAAGCAUAGUAAAAGAACCAGAAGGUUGACCGUGAUGUUUGUAGCUCUAUCAAGUAGGUACACCAAAUACUUGCAAACCAGUAUCGCUAAGAGUAAAGGUGGAAUCCGUUACGAUCUUGGACAUCAUCAAAGAAGGGUGUUUUCUACGCCUAUGCUUAACAUGACUCAAUAAUAGAAGACAUUUCUUUGGUGCCCCACUUUUAUUAUUCUCCUUCUCUACCUUAAGUCUUUAUCGAGCAGUCACAUUUGAUGCGUAGUGUUAAAUCGUGUUAGACAAUACUUCUAUUUCUUUCUUCACNAAACCUAAACACCCAAGGAUUCUACAUCAACCCUAACACCACUUGUCAAACAAUUCCAUUACAAGUAGGACAUUCUUUAUAAUAGAAAUUCCCUUGGAUAAAAACAUCCAACCAACACAAUCCUACUAGGAGUACACUACCUACUCCUAUAAAAGCAGAACCUUGGGCCAUUAUUCAGGUACGUUUUUCUCAUUGUUCUUCAACAUAUAGCCUCACGCAUAUAUUUCCCUUUCUGACUUAAGCAUCGGAGGGGCGACGAGAACACACCUUGUUGCCUUUGUUUCAGGUAUCGGAAGAUCACGUUCGUGCUCAU
rnacentral:sRNA from 1 species